CAUAUUGAUCAGAUGCUUCAGUGCUCUGAGAGUGUUUAUAGUGCUGUGAGUUUAACACUUCAUCACUGACACACACAACAAUCUUCAUCAACAUGACCUUCAUCAUCAUCUUCAUCUGGACACUUUCAUACUGCUUUAUACUACAAGGGUGUAAAGCUCAGAUCACAGUCACCCAGACUCCUUCAGUGAAAACUGCCACACCAGAAGAACGUGUUGAGAUGAGCUGUAAAUUCAGUUCUGCUCCAGCCUGCAGCCCACCCUGUGUGUCCUGGUACUUACAGAAACCCGGAGAAGCUCCUAAACUCCUGAUUUAUUAUACAAACCGCCUCGAGUCAGGAACUCCAUCUAGAUUCAGUGGCAGUGGAUCUGGGACUGAUUUCACUCUGACCAUCAGUGGAGUCCAGACUGAAGAUGCUGGACAUUAUUACUGUCAGAGUUACCACUACAUCAACAGCCAAUAUGUGUUCACACAGUGAUAAAGAGUCGUACAAAAACCUCCGUCAG